GUUCCAACGCUGGUAAACGAUGUCGAUUUGGAGUUGUGCCCUUGAGGCGUGGCUUCUCGGAGCUAACGCUGUUAAAUCGACCGCCUGGUGAGUACGUCCGCAAGGUUUAAACUCAAAUGAAUUGACGGGGUCCCGCACAAGCGGUGGAGCAUGUGGUUUAAUUCGAUGCAACGCGAAGAACCUUACCUACUCUUGACAUCCAGAGAACUUUCCAGAGAUGNAUUGGUGCCUUCGGGAACUCUGAGACAGUGUGCUGCAUGGCUGUCGUCAGCUCGUGUUGUGAAAUGUUGGGUUAAGUCCCGCAACGAGCGCAACCCUUAUCCUUUGUUGCCAGCGGUUCGGCCGGGAACUCAAAGGAGACUGCCAGUGAUAAACUGGAGGAACGGUGGGGAUGACGUCAAGUCAUCAUGGCCCUUACGAGUAGGGCUACACACGUGCUACAAUGGCGUAUACAAUAUGAGAAGCGACCUCGCGAGAGCAAGCGGACCUCAUAAAGUAACGUUCGUAGUCCGGAUUGGAGUCUGCAAACUCGAACUCCAUGAAGUCGGAUAUACGGCUAG
rnacentral:rRNA from 1 species